rnacentral:rRNA from 1 species
AGCCGGCGAUGUCCGAAUGGGGAAACCCAGUGCAAUUCGUUGCACUAUCGUUAACUGAAUACAUAGGUUAACGAGGCGAACCGGGGGAACUGAAACAUCUAAGUACCCCGAGGAAAAGAAAUCAACCGAGAUUCCCCCAGUAGCGGCGAGCGAACGGGGAGCAGCCCAGAGUCUGAAUCAGCUUGUGUGUUAGUGGAACGGUCUGGAAAGUCCGACGGUACAGGGUGAUAGUCCCGUACACCAAAAUGCACAGGCUGUGAACUCGAAGAGUAGGGCGGGACACGUGGUAUCCUGUCUGAAUAUGGGGGGACCAUCCUCCAAGGCUAAAUACUCCUGACUGACCGAUAGUGAACCAGUACCGUGAGGGAAAGGCGAAAAGAACCCCGGCGAGGGGAGUGAAAAAGAACCUGAAACCGUGUACGUACAAGCAGUGGGAGCACCUUCGGGUGUGACUGCGUACCUUUUGUAUAAUGGGUCAGCGACUUAUAUUCUGUAGCAAGGUUAACCGUAUAGGGGAGCCGCAGGGAAACCGAGUCUUAACUGGGCGUUAAGUUGCAGGGUAUAGACCCGAAACCCGGUGAUCUAGCCAUGGGCAGGUUGAAGGUUGGGUAACACUAACUGGAGGACCGAACCGACUAAUGUUGAAAAAUUAGCGGAUGACUUGUGGCUGGGGGUGAAAGGCCAAUCAAACCGGGAGAUAGCUGGUUCUCCCCGAAAGCUAUUUAGGUAGCGCCUCGUGAAUUCAUCUUCGGGGGUAGAGCACUGUUUCGGCUAGGGGGUCAUCCCGACUUACCAACCCGAUGCAAACUACGAAUACCGAAGAAUGUUAUCACGGGAGACACACGGCGGGUGCUAACGUCCGUCGUGAAGAGGGAAACAACCCAGACCGCCAGCUAAGGUCCCAAAGUCAUGGUUAAGUGGGAAACGAUGUGGGAAGGCACAGACAGCCAGGAUGUUGGCUUAGAAGCAGCCAUCAUUUAAAGAAAGCGUAAUAGCUCACUGGUCGAGUCGGCCUGCGCGGAAGAUGUAACGGGGCUAAACCAUGCACCGAAGCUGCGGCAGCGACACUAUGUGUUGUUGGGUAGGGGAGCGUUCUGUAAGCCUGCGAAGGUGUGCUGUGAGGCAUGCUGGAGGUAUCAGAAGUGCGAAUGCUGACAUAAGUAACGAUAAAGCGGGUGAAAAGCCCGCUCGCCGGAAGACCAAGGGUUCCUGUCCAACGUUAAUCGGGGCAGGGUGAGUCGACCCCUAAGGCGAGGCCGAAAGGCGUAGUCGAUGGGAAACAGGUUAAUAUUCCUGUACUUGGUGUUACUGCGAAGGGGGGACGGAGAAGGCUAUGUUAGCCGGGCGACGGUUGUCCCGGUUUAAGCAUGUAGGCUGGUUAUCCAGGCAAAUCCGGAUAAUCAAGGCUGAGGUGUGAUGACGAGGCACUACGGUGCUGAAGUAACAAAUGCCCUGCUUCCAGGAAAAGCCUCUAAGCAUCAGGUAACAUCAAAUCGUACCCCAAACCGACACAGGUGGUCAGGUAGAGAAUACCAAGGCGCUUGAGAGAACUCGGGUGAAGGAACUAGGCAAAAUGGUGCCGUAACUUCGGGAGAAGGCACGCUGGUGUGUAGGUGAAGUCCCUGCGGAUGGAGCUGAGACCAGUCGAAGAUACCAGCUGGCUGCAACUGUUUAUUAAAAACACAGCACUGUGCAAACACGAAAGUGGACGUAUACGGUGUGACGCCUGCCCGGUGCCGGAAGGUUAAUUGAUGGGGUUAUCCGUAAGGAGAAGCUCUUGAUCGAAGCCCCGGUAAACGGCGGCCGUAACUAUAACGGUCCUAAGGUAGCGAAAUUCCUUGUCGGGUAAGUUCCGACCUGCACGAAUGGCGUAAUGAUGGCCAGGCUGUCUCCACCCGAGACUCAGUGAAAUUGAACUCGCUGUGAAGAUGCAGUGUACCCGCGGCAAGACGGAAAGACCCCGUGAACCUUUACUAUAGCUUGACACUGAACAUUGAGCCUUGAUGUGUAGGAUAGGUGGGAGGCUUUGAAGCGUGGACGCCAGUCUGCGUGGAGCCAACCUUGAAAUACCACCCUUUAAUGUUUGAUGUUCUAACGUUGGCCCCUUACCGGGGUUGCGGACAGUGUCUGGUGGGUAGUUUGACUGGGGCGGUCUCCUCCCAAAGCGUAACGGAGGAGCACGAAGGUUAGCUAAUCCUGGUCGGACAUCAGGAGGUUAGUGCAAUGGCAUAAGCUAGCUUGACUGCGAGCGUGACGGCGCGAGCAGGUGCGAAAGCAGGUCAUAGUGAUCCGGUGGUUCUGAAUGGAAGGGCCAUCGCUCAACGGAUAAAAGGUACUCCGGGGAUAACAGGCUGAUACCGCCCAAGAGUUCAUAUCGACGGCGGUGUUUGGCACCUCGAUGUCGGCUCAUCACAUCCUGGGGCUGAAGUAGGUCCCAAGGGUAUGGCUGUUCGCCAUUUAAAGUGGUACGCGAGCUGGGUUUAGAACGUCGUGAGACAGUUCGGUCCCUAUCUGCCGUGGGCGCUGGAGAAUUGAGGGGGGCUGCUCCUAGUACGAGAGGACCGGAGUGGACGCAUCACUGGUGUUCGGGUUGUCAUGCCAAUGGCACUGCCCGGUAGCUAAAUGCGGAAGAGAUAAGUGCUGAAAGCAUCUAAGCACGAAACUUGCCCCGAGAUGAGUUCUCCCUGAGACUUUAAGUCUCCUGAAGGAACGUU